rnacentral:rRNA from 1 species
GACGAACGCUGGCGGCGUGCCUAAUACAUGCAAGUCGAACGCAGUGGGUACGGGUGAGGAACACGUGGGUAACCUCCCAUCAGAGGGGAUAACACUUGGAAACAGGUGCUAAACCGAUACGGAUGGCUGGACGCGCGGUGAAUUAGCUAGUUGGUGAGGUAACGGCUCACCAAGGCCACGAUGCAUAGCCGGCCUGAGAGGGUGAUCAGCCACACUGGGACUGAGACACGGUCCAGACUCCUACGGGAGGCAGCAGUGGGGAAUCUUCGGCAAUGGACGAAAGCCUGAUCCAGCCACGCCGCGUGAAUGAAGAAGGCUUUCGGAUCGUAAAGUUCUGUUGUUAGGGAAGCGGUAUCUACCCAGAAAGCCACGGCUAACUCCGUGCCAGCCGCCGCGGUAAUUC